UUGAUAUCAUCCAACAUUGAGCAUAUGUGGGGUGUCAGCCUCACACCAGGACUGAUAUAUAUUGAUCCUGACAAUUGUCUCAUCCCUUAGGGCUCUUAUUGUGCUCGUAAUGAUCUGAGGAUUCUUUGUCUCCAUUGUAAGUGGCAAAUUAUGACACCUUCUGUGCUGAAACUGCUGAGUUGCUGGCAGAUUGUUUCUGAGAUAAAAUACUCCUGAGAGCAAAAUGGCAGCUAGUUAGAGCUGCAUGGAACAAUAUAAUGUCAAAUCUGAGGACUUGUAAUGGGUUCAGACAGCACCUACAACAAUGAACCUGUUAGAAAAAAAAAAUGACAGUGAGAAUUGACUCUGGAUGCAUCAAAUGAUAUUCAGAUGGAGACUCCCA